rnacentral:rRNA from 1 species
GGCCCUACGGGACGCAGCAGUGGGGAAUAUUGCACAAUGGGGGAAACCCUGAUGCAGCGACGCCGCGUGAGCGAUGAAGUAUUUCGGUAUGUAAACUUCUAUCAGCAGGGAAGAAAAUGACGGUACCUGACUAAGAAGCCCCGGCUAACUACGUGCCAGCAGCCGCGGUAAUACGUAGGGGGCAAGCGUUAUCCGGGUUUACUGGGUGUAAAGGGAGCAUAGGCGGCAGUGCAAGUCAGAAGUGAAAGCCCGGGGCUCAACUCCGGGACUGCUUUUGAAACUGUACAGCUUGAUUGCAGGAGAGG